AUUGAACGCUGGCGGCAUGCCUUACACAUGCAAGUCGAACGGUAACGGGUCCUUCGGGAUGCCGACGAGUGGCGAACGGGUGCGUAAUAUAUCGGAACGUGCCCAGCAGUGGGGGAUAACUGCUCGAAAGAGCAUCUAAUACCGCAUACGACCUGAGGGUGAAAGGGGGGGAUCGCAAGACCUCUCGCUCUUGGAGCGGCCGAUAUCAGAUUAGCUAGUUGGUGGGGUAAGGGCCUACCAAGGCAACGAUCUGUAGUUGGUCUGAGAGGACGACCAGCCACACUGGGACUGAGACACGGCCCAGACUCCUACGGGAGGCAGCAGUGGGGAAUUUUGGACAAUGGGCGCAAGCCUGAUCCAGCAAUGCCGCGUGCAGGAAGAAGGCCUUCGGGUUGUAAACUGCUUUUGUCAGGGAAGAAAUCUUCUGGGCUAAUACCCCGGGAGGAUGACGGUACCUGAAGAAUAAGCACCGGCUAACUACGUGCCAGCAGCCGCCGUAA
rnacentral:rRNA from 1 species